rnacentral:rRNA from 1 species
UACGAAGGGGGCAAGCGUUGUCCGGAUUUAUUGGGCGUAAAGAGCGUGUAGGCGGCCAGGUAGGUCUGCUGUGAAAACUCGAGGCUUAACCUCGAGAUGUCGGCGGAAACCAUCUGGCUAGAGUCCGGAAGAGGAGAAUGGAAUUCCCGGUGUAGCGGUGAAAUGCGCAGAUAUCGGGAAGAACACCCGUGGCGAAGGCGGUUCUCUGGGACGGUACUGACGCUGAGACGCGAAAGCGUGGGGAGCGAACAGG